rnacentral:rRNA from 1 species
CCUACGGGUGGCUGCAGUGGGGAAUAUUGCACAAUGGGCGCAAGCCUGAUGCAGCCAUGCCGCGUGUGUGAAGAAGGCCUUCGGGUUGUAAAGCACUUUCAGCGGGGAGGAAGGCGGUGAGGUUAAUAACCUCAUCGAUUGACGUUACCCGCAGAAGAAGCACCGGCUAACUCCGUGCCAGCAGCCGCGGUAAUACGGAGGGUGCAAGCGUUAAUCGGAAUUACUGGGCGUAAAGCGCACGCAGGCGGUCUGUCAAGUCGGAUGUGAAAUCCCCGGGCUCAACCUGGGAACUGCAUUCGAAACUGGCAGGCUAGAGUCUUGUAGAGGGGGGUAGAAUUCCAGGUGUAGCGGUGAAAUGCGUAGAGAUUUGGAGGAAUACCGGUGGCGAAGGCGGCCCCCUGGACAAAGACUGACGCUCAGGUGCGAAAGCGUGGGGAGCAAACAGGAUUAGAUACCCGUGUAGUC